rnacentral:rRNA from 1 species
UAGAUACCCUGUUAUAGUUAAAGCGAAAUUUUGCCAGAGUAAUAAUAGUUAUUUUCUUUAAAUUCAAAGAAUUUGGCGGUGUUUUAGUCCUCUUARAGGAACCUGUUUUAUAAACGAUAAACCACGAAUAUCUUACCUAUUUUAAGUUUGUAUACCGUCAUUAUCAGAUAAUUUUGAUAAAAUGAAUUAUUGAAAUUAAUAUAAUUAAUUAAAUUAGAUCAAGGUGCAGUUUAUAAAUAGGAAAUAAUGGGUUACAUUAAAAAUAAUUUAUACGAAUUUAUAUUAUGAAAUUAUUUUAUGAAGGUGGAUUUAAUUGUAAUUUUAUUAAUUAUAAUAAUUUGAUAUAGGCUCUAAAAUAUGUACAUAUCGCCCGUCGCUA